rnacentral:lncRNA from 1 species
UUUUUUUUUUUUUUUUUUUUUUUGAUAUGUAUCACUGUGUGGCUCUGGCUGGCUUAUGAAUUCAUAAAUAUCCUGCCCUUUCCAAAGUUGGCAUAACAGGUGUCACUGCCAUACAUGGCUAUAUUUUCUCUCUUAUCAUCUUAUUAAUGUACUGAAGCUAGACUCCUGAUGUUAUCUUUCUUGUUUGCUUUUGCUUUUGGGUUAGCUUCACUAUUAGUCCAAGCUGGAUUUAUCUCUGCUUUCUGAAUGAUGGGAUUACAAGUGUGCUUCUAUCUAGCUCUGUAAUGUUUCCUUUAACGUUUUAUUAACGGGACCAGAAAUGUAGCCUAGUCAGUAGAAUGUUUGGCUGGAUUCAAUUCCUAGUACAUCAUAAACCAGACAUGGUUGCAUACACCUAUGAACUCAGAGUUUAGUUACAUAGGUUUGAAGUCAUCCUAGGUUACAUGAGACCCUGUUACCUCUUAUUGAAGAAAUCCUUGGUUCUUUUUAAAAAUGAUUUGUGCUGGACAGUGAUGGUGCAAGCCUUUGAUCCCAGCACUCAGGAGGCAGAGGCAGGUGGAUUUCUGAGUUCUGGUCUAUAGAGUGAGUUUCAGGACAGGCAGGACUACACAGAGAGAAACCAUGUCAAACCAAAACAGAAAAACAAAACAAAACAACAACAACCCUGAUUUACUACUUUGUGUGCACAUGUGCUUUUUAUAGGGGAAGCGUAUGGUUGAAGGACAACUUUGAAGUUCUUUUCUUCCAUUGUGGGCCCUAGGGGAUUAAACUCAAGCUUACAUGGAAAGCACUUUUUAUCCUCUGAGCCAUUUCAUUGGCCAGAAGUCAUUGGUUCUAUUGGCCUUUUCUUCUGUUUUAUCAUUUACUUAGUUUUGUUUGGAGUAAGGAUCUCAUGUCCUAAAUACUGGUCUAAGUAUUUCAUUUAUUUAGUGUGUAUUUGUAUAUUGAUACAUGUGGGCUCACAUAUAGCACAUGUGUAGAGGUGAAGGGCCAAUUUUGGCAAGUUGGCUCUCUCCUUUUACCAUGUGGGUUCUGAGGAUUGAACUCAGUUUGUUAGACUUAAUAGUUAGUACCUUCACCUACUGAACUAUCUCACCUGCCCCAUUUUCAUUUUUCAAUCAACACAUAGUUAUAUGAAUUUAUGGGGUACUAUAUGAUACACACACACACACACACACACACACACACACUACACAUAAAUAACAUUCAAAUCAGGGUGACCUUUUUCAACUCCUCAGAUAUUUGUCUUUUGUAUAAAAUGAUGAGAACAAGAGGCAGGCGAAUUUCUAAGUUGGAGGCCAGCCUGGUCUACAAAGUGAGUUCCAGGGCAGUCAGGGCUACACAGAGAAACCCUGUCUUGAAAAAUU